GUGCAGCAGGCGAGAAACCUCCGCAAUACACGAAAGUGUGACGGGCCAUCCCGAGUGCCGUCCGCUGAGGACGGCUUUUUCCCCAGUGUACAUAGCUGGGGGAAUAAGGAGAGGGCAAGCCUGGUGUCAGCCGCCGCGGUAAUACCAGCGUCUCCGAGUGGUGGGGACGCUUAUUGGGCCUAAAGCAUCCGUAGCCGGCUGGGCAAGUCCUCCGUUAAAUCCAACGAUUCAAUCGUUGGGCUGCGGGGGAUACUGUCCAGCUUGGGGGCGGGAGAGGCCGACGGUAUUCCCGGGGUAGGGGUGAAAUCCUAUAAUCCCCGGGAGGACCACCAGUGGCGAAGGCUGUCGGCUAGAACGCGCCCCGACGGUGAGGGGAUGAAAAGCUGGGGGGAGCGAACCGGAUUAGAUACCCG
rnacentral:rRNA from 1 species